UCCUUGGGGAGUCUGUCCCCAGCCUCCCAACUGAGCGCAUGGGCUGGAAAAGUUCCUAAGAGCAUGGCAUUCUGGGUGACACACGUCCCCUCCCCCAGCUGCUCCAUCACUCGUGGCUGUGACCGUCCUCUCAUCUCUCUCACGUCUCGUGGGUGCGAGGCACACAGUCUCUGGUGUGGUUUGGAGGACUCACAUGGUGCAGACCUUGCCAGGGGCCUGUCUUAACCUCUGCAGCUCAUGCAGCCAGACUCCACCUGACACUACCUGUGUUCCUCAGACCCUGGGCUCGGACCCCAGAAGUUGUAGGGUAGAGACAACUAACUCCCUGCUUGCCCUUUCUGAAAUCCAGUUCCUAACGCAGCAUAGCAGCCAGCCCGAGAUCAGUGGCCUGAAGUGUAAUGAAGCAGCGCUUCCCACUGUAAUUUCGCAAUGGGCACAGGGCUGUUGGCACUGGGAACAGAGAGGAUGAGAGCUGGGGUGAGGGAGGGUUUGUCCCAGGGUGAGCAGACUCAGGACGGCAGGCCACGAGGACAUGGGCCGGAGCGGAUGCCCCAGGGUGGGGAGUGGUCAGGCUGGCCUGGGGCUCAGCAGCAGCCCCUCACCCCUGGAUCUGGAUCCUGGGGCAACUCAUUGUCUGAGGUUGGAGUCUGAGAGAUACACAUGUUACUCUCCACACCUGUCUCUUCCCUGGGCUGGAAGCUGUGCCUUGGCCCUGGGCUCUGCCAUGUCUCAGAGGGGGACUGUCCACCAUAAUCCAUGGGUGUGGGCCUGGCCACCCCCAGGUGUGGUGCUCUGUGCUGGGUGGGUGGUGCACCUGCUGUCACACAGGGGGAGGUGGUGGGCAGGGGUCCUGGGCACCGCAGCCCGCUUGAGGCAGGGCGAUAACUGGCUUCAAGUGGGGUCCCUGGCUGGGCGGGCACCGUGGUGAACUCCAGGCCCCCUGGGCAGUGAGGGCCCUGUGGGAGUGGGUGCUGGGCCAGCUCUCCUGCACUUGGGACUCCUAAGACCCCAGUUCUCACACACAAGGGGGUGGCAACUGCCCCAAACCACAUGGUUGUUGUGGGACGUGUGAGUGCCUUGAAGUGCCCGGUGUUUACGGGGCUGCGGUCCUCACUAGCGGCUCUGUUCCUGCCCCUCCUGUGACUUGGGGCCUUGAGGGCAGGACGUCCAGACCCCACUCCCUGCAGAGGCAGCUUGUAAACCUGGGCUCCUGCAAGCAGUUUGGAGAAGACUUUCCUGCCUCCCUUGGGUACAAAGGUGGCCACUGGAGGGCGGAGGUGAGGGACUGCCCCCUCUGCUGGGUAAUGUGUCUUGGAGGAAGCCUCACCGGUUCACCUGGCUCCGAGGCUGGGUCUCCACACCCUUGCCGGUCUGGGGCUGGUGUUGAAACACACCCUUCGAUCAAUUGCCUCCUCUGGGCUAAAGCGUUGGCCCUCGAUUAUGUGCAAAUGAAGCUGCCUCCUUUCAUUUAUAUCUAAUUGAUCCAUUGAUUCAUGUACAUACUGGGUCGCUCUUGUGUGCCGGGAACUCUUACCAUGUUCUCUGUGCCCAGGCCCCCAGUGGCCAGGCCUCUUCCAGCCCUGAAUCAGGAAGCCUGGUCCACAGACCUUGAGUGGUGCUGGUUUCUGACAUUGGUUUCUGAUGACUGGAUGGGCAGUGAUGUGUCUUCAUAUGCUUAAGUUGGCAAUUACAUGGCUCUGUUGGUUCUGAAUGUGAGUGGGAAACAUGGGCAUGACCCAGGGACCCUCCAGACCUAACCACAGAGCUUUCCUUUGGCUUCUGCACACGGUGGUGGCCUGGCUGGCUUCUUGUGACAGGAGAGCCUGCAGAGCUGGCUGGUGGCCUUCGUUUCUCCCAGCAACGGGCACUGAUAGGGGAACUGAGGCGGCAGGUCCUUCCAGCCCUGUGGAGCCUGGGCCAGGCUGCCCUGUGUCAGCCUGGGAAAGCGUUGCUCCUGUUCCACAGCUGCAGGUGGAGCUGGACCUUAACAUUAGCCCCAAGGUGUGGAUAACCAGAAUUCUUGGAAACAUCUCCAGGGAAUGGAUGGUGGUUCCCAUUCCCGGGAUGGAGCAUCCCCAGCGGGCUGGGAGAUGGGGCCCAAGUCACCAGCGACACCCUUGCUUCACCCAGCCUAGCAGAGUAAACUGUAACAAUUGGGAUAGAAACUCAUCAAAAGCAACCAAAAUUUUGAUGUAAAUGCCAUUUUGGAAAACUGAUUAAUAUGUCAAAAUAUUCAGCUCCCAAGGUAUGUGAUAAAAAUAACCAGAGUUCUUUGCAGUUUCAUGAUUUAACAUUCAAAUGACUGAUUUAAAUUCCAGUUCAUCAAAUCCUUUUAAAAUCUGUUCCCUCUUUCCAGAGGUUUUUGGCAGCUUCUAUGUGAGGAGAAAGUCCUGGAGGAACUGUGGGUUCUGUAAGUCUAGGGGCCUUGGGUUGUCCUCACAGGAGGGGCUUGCAUUGGUCCAGCCUUGUCCUUUAUUUCCAGCAAAGAGAGGAGGCUGGGGACAGGGCUGCUGGGCAGUCACAGCCCCUGCUCCUGGGGAGAGGGAUGGUGGCCUCUGCUGUGAGGUCACUCCUGCUCCCUGUUCUGCUGUGGCUUCUGUUUAUUUCUUGGUGGGGCCCAUCCUGGCUUGGGCUCCCCAGAAAGAAGAGCCUGAGACAUGCAGAGCCCGUGCUGCCUGUUUCUGGGAGUAUGAUCCCAAGAAAGCGAGGGACUAGGGGUGGGGAGGGAAGCAGGGCCAGAGUGAGGACCUGUCCCUCCCCUCCUAUCACCAUGGGUCCUGUGAUCAUCCUGCGUAUUCAAACAGCCAUGUGAGACUAGGCAUCAGGCGCCCCCCAGCCCAUCAGCUGCAGGGAACCCCCAGGGGGUGGGAAGGGCAGCGGCAGUGAUGGGUAGCAGGGUGCUGCCCUGGAACUUCUGGAUGAGGAGGGACAGAGGCCACUGCUGCAGCCAAGGCAUCAGAGCCCAGCUCCACAGUUGGAGCUCAGUCUGGCGCAGGGUUGUUUACAUGCAGCCUUAGAGGGACUCCAAGGGGACAGUCGGGAAGCACGCAGCCCUCAGGACGGAAGGAAGUCCACGCUUGGCUCGUGGAUGGAGUUGGAGAGGGUGGUUGACCUGGGAUGGAAGGGUCCUCUCGGUCCCUCCUCUGAGCCUCAGCCGCAGACCCUCAUGGGUGCUUCUGCAGCUUUUGCGCUGAGCUGUGGAUUGUGGGCCGGGAGUGCACUGCACACUCACAUCCCCUCCCACACCCGCCCCUGCACCUCACGCCCAGCCACAGGUGGGAUUCCUUCUUUAAACGACCAGGGGCACAGCAUUUCAUCAGGGGCAGGACUGAGGUGAGGAAGGGUUGGGGUGCCUCUCGGGAACCAGUCCCCUGGGGCACCUGUAGGGACCCUGUGUGAUCCUCAGACGUUGGAGGGUGGCCGCUGGAACUGCCUGCGGAGGCCACACUGGGUGACUUCUGGGGCUGAGCUGGGGGGUUCUGAGGCCAGGCCAGGGCAUGGUGAUGUGGCCCUUGGACCCCGGCUGCUGGAGAACACCCCACCCCCACUUCACAUGACCGCCAGUCCUCCGCCACGGCGUUGCCAAUUUUUCACUCUAUUUUCUUGCUGCACAGCUGGGCUUGGGGCCCUUCCCAGCACUGCUGUCGCUCAAGGGAGCUCUUGUUGUCUCUCAGCUGAGAGAAAAACCAGGAAAAGCAUCCAUGAGCCAGAAAUAGAAGCUGAGGCCAUUAAGCAAAUGUCCAAUUAUCUUCCGAGAUGGUGCCCUAGCGCCAUCUGCCUGCUGGUCGGCGCUGGUCUGCCUGCUGGCUGCUGUACGGGGCGGCCGUCAAGGGAGAGCUGGGCUUACUGCCCUGGCGGGUGUGCAUUUCAGUGCGUUAAUGUGGAUAAAAAGCUUCCACAAGGAGCCAGCGUCUCCCUUUCCUGGGGUAGGAAUGUUCCCGGGCUUAUCGCACCCCAGUGCCCAGCCUGUACCCACGGCGAGGUGAUGCAGCCAAAGAAGGUGGCAUCUGCAGGAGGCCAGACCGCCCGCACCUGUUGUGACGGCUGUUUCUUUGCUUAGAUGCAGCCAUUAAAUUGCCAUUUUGUGGAAGGGCAGGAGAGACAGCGGGCGGCUAGUCCUCGCUGUGGGGGGAGGGGAGGGGUGGCACAGCUGGGCAGCGCCUGGAGUAGUGCUGCUAGGUGUUCACUGCCUUUGCAGCCUUGGGACGAUGCUCAGCGUCUUCCCCACCAGGGACCCCAGCUGGGGGCCCCUUCCUCAGCUGCUCAGAGAGGCUGUUGCCUCACCGUAAUUCUCACACCAGCUAUAACAGCAGGUAGUCAGCUUCGGCACCCCCCACCCCCUGAGGGCUGCGGCUCUCCUGCCAAAGUCUUGACCCCAGCCCAGGUACACGCCUUACAAAGGAUUUUGGUGGUUCCCCAGUUCAGAAGUCUGUCUGAAGGAUGCUUUUUAGAUUUCAAAGUAUUGGGUUAAAAUUUCUGAGACAGCCAAGUGGAAGAUUUGACAGGGGGGUCUGUUUUUAAAAAUUUGAGCUGAUGGCUCAUGACCCCUGUCAUCAUUGCUACCAAUAAUUGGUAAAGCAAAUAGCCUAUCCUUAUUAAGUACACAUGGGCCAGGCUGGGUCACAGAACUGGCUGAGGUGACCUCCUCUGGCCUGGCCAGACAGCUAUCUGAGUGAGAUACAUUAUUGCACAGAUGAUGAAGCUGAGGGUUGGAUGUCAAGCCAUGGUUCAAGUUCAACCAGGUGUGGGAAAAGACCUGGAAUUUAGCCCAAGCAUCUGACUCUACACCCAGAUUCUUAAUUACCCCAUUGUAGGCCUCCCUUCCCUUCCAGGGGUUGAAGAUUAGGGUAGUCAGUGCACAUGUUAGGGUAGUCAGUGCACACGAAGCACCUAGCCUGCUGCCCAGCACACAGUGACCACUGAAUAAAUGCCAGCUGUUUAAGCAUCACUGUCACCGUAGUUGUUCCUGGAGUAGCUGAGGGGCAGAGAGUUAAACUUGGUUUUUUUUUGCCAUACAUGGGGAGAGCCUGGCUAUAAAAAUGCCAACCCAGAGGGAAUCAUAACCCUUCCUCAUCCAAAAAAAGGAAAAGACAAAAAGGGCUUUCUGAUGACACUGAGUUCCUGGAAGCAGCCAUGCCUGAUAUCCACUCUUGGAGUUUUCAGAGCUGUGUGCCAGUAGGACCUUUGAUUUCUUUUUGUUGAAGCCAACUCAAAUUGGGUUUCCCUUGCUUGCAAUCAAAGGGGCUUUAACACGUUCAAGCAGAGACAAUCUCAUCUUCCCUUCAGUUCCCACAGCACCUGUCUUACCCCUUGGGAGCCAGAUUUUCUAGGUCUUAAAUCAUGAUUAGGGCCUUGACAAAGAAUUUCUUUUCCUGAACCAAAAGUUUCAUUAUAGAAAAUUAGUGGUUUGUUAAGGGUCACCUUUAUAAAACAGCAGCUGUUCCUGGUUGCUGACUCCGUGGAUCUGGAGCUGCUCAGCCCCGGCUGUGGCCACAUCCUUUCCAAGGCCCAUUCUACCCUCCUGGCUGCGGGCAGAAAGUCAGGGUCUGUAACCAACUAAUUUCCUUGUCCCCAAGGUGGUGCACGCAGCCCAUAUAAGGCAGGUUUUCAGAUAAGUGUUGAUACACAACAUCAGUGUGGUUUUCCAGGAAUGUCUCUUAAACCACCAAAUCCCAAGGCAUCAGUAGCUUCUUAAAUCUGCUUUUCCAACCCCCAGAAACCCUGCAAAAUUAAUUAAAGGGGCACAGUUCAUGCUUCCCCAGCUGGC
rnacentral:lncRNA from 1 species